GCUCGAUGAGUAGGGCGGGACACGUGGUAUCCUGUCUGAAUAUGGGGGGACCAUCCUCCAAGGCUAAAUACUCCUGACUGACCGAUAGUGAACCAGUACCGUGAGGGAAAGGCGAAAAGAACCCCGGCGAGGGGAGUGAAAAAGAACCUGAAACCGUGUACGUACAAGCAGUGGGAGCACAGAGCAAUCUGUGUGACUGCGUACCUUUUGUAUAAUGGGUCAGCGACUUAUAUUCUGUAGCAAGGUUAACCGAAUAGGGGAGCCGAAGGGAAACCGAGUCUUAACUGGGCGUUAAGUUGCAGUGUAUAGACCCGAAACCCGGUGAUCUAGCCAUGGGCAGGUUGAAGGUUGGGUAACACUAACUGGAGGACCGAACCGACUAAUGUUGAAAAAUUAGCGGAUGACUUGUGGCUGGGGGUGAAAGGCCAAUCAAACCGGGAGAUAGCUGGUUCUCCCCGAAAGCUAUUUAGGUAGCGCCUCGUGAAUUCAUCUCCGGGGGUAGAGCACUGUUUCGGCAAGGGGGUCAUCCCGACUUACCAACCCGAUGCAAACUGCGAAUACCGGAGAAUGUUAUCACGGGAGACACACGGCGGGUGCUAACGUCCGUCGUGAAGAGGGAAACAACCCAGACCGCCAGCUAAGGUCCCAAAGUCAUGGUUAAGUGGGAAACGAUGUGGGAAGGCCCAGACAGCCAGGAUGUUGGCUUAGAAGCAGCCAUCAUUUAAAGAAAGCGUAAUAGCUCACUGGUCGAGUCGGCCUGCGCGGAAGAUGUAACGGGGCUAAACCAUG
rnacentral:rRNA from 1 species